rnacentral:rRNA from 1 species
UACGAAGGGGGCUAGCGUUGUUCGGAAUUACUGGGCGUAAAGCGCGCGCAGGCGGCCUCUCAAGUCAGGGGUGAAAGCCCGGAGCUCAACUCCGGAAUUGCCUUUGAAACUGUCAGGCUCGAGUACGGGAGAGGUGAGUGGAAUUCCCAGUGUAGAGGUGAAAUUCGUAGAUAUUGGGAAGAACACCGGUGGCGAAGGCGGCUCACUGGCCCGUUUCUGACGCUCAGGCGCGACAGCGUGGGGAUCAAACAGG